rnacentral:rRNA from 1 species
UACGUAGGGGGCUAGCGUUGUCCGGAAUCAUUGGGCGUAAAGCGCGUGUAGGCGGCCCGGUAAGUCCGCUGUGAAAGUCGGGGGCUCAACCCUCGAAUGCCGGUGGAUACUGUCGGGCUCGAGUGCGGAAGAGGCGAGUGGAAUUCCUGGUGUAGCGGUGAAAUGCGCAGAUAUCAGGAGGAACACCAGUGGCGAAGGCGGCUCACUGGCCCGGUACUGACGCUGAGGUGCGAAAGCGUGGGGAGCAAACAGG